AGGCUCUAUCAAAGCGGAUUUAGAAUAAUUUUCAUACGAGCCAAGAGCUGAGAUUAGUAUAAAUGUGUUUUAUAGCGUGUUUUACAGAGUGCUGACUUUUUCAAUCACAUGCAAAGAUGAUACUAUCUAUAUGCAAGAACACGUUGCAAGCGAAAUAAGAUUUCAAGAGAGAUAAUAGAGAAAAAAAUAUACGAUAAUAAAAAUCUGUAUAGCUCGUUCAGCAGUUUUCUCUUAAAGAAACGAAUAAUAUUCUAUCGACUCGCAAUCUGCUCUGUGCUCAAGACGAAAUGCUGCCAUGCGCGCGAUAAGGAAAUUUAUUUCGCGAAAGUUGUCUGCUUCGUCCCGGCAAUUUUCCCAUAAUGCUCGCCCGUUCCGAGAGUUAUGAAUCACGAUAAAGCACGGUAGGAUUCUCGAUGAAUAUAAAGCGGAAACGAGUCCGUGCAAGAAUGGUCGUAUUGCGGAAAGCGGAUGAAAGGAGACGAAAGCGAUAUGAAAAUAGACGAAGGCUAUCGAAGAUUGUGACUCCAACGGGAAAGUUCAAGCAAGAUAAAGAGCGAGAA